CUCCGACAAAUAGAUACACUAGAGUCAAAAAGAUAAAAUAAUAAGCAAGCAAUUCAAAUACAAUUCGAAUAACAAGCUUGGUUGGUUGUUCCAUUCUUUCUUUUCUUCAUUGGGUACUUAACUCUUAAGGCAGUGUACUAUACAGUGAUCUACAAUAAGGCAUUUUAUUCUCAUAUGAGACUGGAAUAAUAAUACCUUUAGACAGAGCCUUACUUAAAAAUCAAUACCAAUCCAGAGGAUGAACAUAAUACUGCAGGAUCAUAACUAUGUCAGCAAGUGUCAUGCGACAGACAGUGCAUGCCUAGACGAAUUUGCACGGAUGUAAGACUCCGCUGCUAACAGAGUCCUACGCAAUCACUCUUCGCAAACAGUUCUGUUCAAGAAUGAAUAUUGAACUUUCAAGUUAUGUGUCCAGUAACCCUGAAACAAAGCAAUUUCCUCCUCUCCUUCCUUUAUUUAAUUCUCUCUCAUGGUGGAACUGAAAUCAACGGCUAUUCGUAUCUUUUCCAAAUCAAGUCAUGAUUUUCUUUCAAAUCACUCUACAAAAUAAGUACAGUUUAUCCCAACUCCAAAAGUACAAAAGCAGCAGGACAUUCAGUUGUCAAAUUAGCAUAUUACCGAAUUAUGCACCUAUUGCCACA
rnacentral:lncRNA from 1 species